rnacentral:rRNA from 1 species
ACGGGGCGCAGCAGGCGCGAAACCUUUACACUGUACGCAAGUGCGAUAAGGGGACUCCGAGUGUGAAGGCAUAGAGCCUUCACUUUUGUACACCGUAAGGUGGUGUACGAAUAAGGGCUGGGCAAGACCGGUGCCAGCCGCCGCGGUAAUACCGGCAGCCCGAGUGAUGGCCGAUAUUAUUGGGCCUAAAGCGUCCGUAGCUGGCCGGACAAGUCCGUUGGGAAAUCUGUUCGCUUAACGAGCAGGCGUCCAGCGGAAACUGUUCGGCUUGGGACCGGAAGACCUGAGGGGUACGUCCGGGGUAGGAGUGAAAUCCUGUAAUCCUGGACGGACCACCGGUGGCGAAAGCGCCUCAGGAGGACAGAUCCGACAGUGAGGGACGAAAGCUAGGGUCUCGAACCGGAUUAGAUACCCCCGUAGUCC